rnacentral:rRNA from 1 species
AGAACGAACGCUGGCGGCAGGCUUAACACAUGCAAGUCGAACGCUUCAUCUUCGGGUGGGGAGUGGCAGACGGGUGAGUAACACGUGGGAACGUACCCUUUGGUUCGGAAUAACCCUGGGAAACUAGGGCUAAUACCGGAUACGGCCGAGAGGCGAAAGGUUUACCGCCGGAGGAACGGCCCGCGUCCGAUUAGCUUGUUGGUGAGGUAAUGGCUCACCAAGGCGACGAUCGGUAGCUGGU